rnacentral:tRNA from 1 species
GGGAACUUGGCGCAGUUGGUUAGCGCGCUGCUUCGACAUAGCAGAGGUCACAGGUUCGAAUCCUGUAGUGCCCACUA